GAGUUUGAUCAUGGCUCAGAUUGAACGCUGGCGGCAUGCCUUACACAUGCAAGUCGAACGGCAGCACGGGGGCAACCCUGGUGGCGAGUGGCGAACGGGUGAGUAAUACAUCGGAACGUGUCCUGUAGUGGGGGAUAGCCCGGCGAAAGCCGGAUUAAUACCGCAUACGAUCUACGGAAGAAAGCGGGGGAUCGCAAGACCUCGCGCUAUAGGGGCGGCCGAUGGCAGAUUANCUAGUUGGUGGGGUAAAGGCCUACCAAGGCGACGAUCUGUAGCUGGUCUGAGAGGACGACCAGCCACACUGGGACUGAGACACGGCCCANACUCCUACGGGAGGCAGCAGUGGGGAAUUUUGGACAAUGGGGGAAACCCUGAUCCAGCAAUGCCGCGUGUGUGAAGAAGGCCUUCGGGUUGUAAAGCACUUUUGUCCGGAAAGAAAACUUCCUGGUUAAUACCUGGGGAGGAUGACGGUACCGGAAGAAUAAGCACCGGCUAACUAUGUGCCAGCAGCCGCGGUAAUAC
rnacentral:rRNA from 1 species